rnacentral:rRNA from 1 species
UACGUAGGGUGCAAGCGUUAAUCGGAAUUACUGGGCGUAAAGCGUGCGCAGGCGGCUUGCCAAGUCAGAUGUGAAAGCCCCGGGCUCAACCCGGGAACUGCGUUUGAAACUGGCAGGCUAGAGUUUGGCAGAGGGGGGUGGAAUUCCGCGUGUAGCAGUGAAAUGCGUAGAUAUGCGGAGGAACACCGAUGGCGAAGGCAAUCCCCUGGGCCUGUACUGACGCUCAUGCACGAAAGCGUGGGGAGCAAACAGG